UACGAAGGGGGCUAGCGUUGUUCGGAAUCACUGGGCGUAAAGGGCGCGUAGGCGGCCGAUCAAGUCGGGGGUGAAAUCCUGGAGCUCAACUCCAGAACUGCCUUCGAUACUGAAGAGCUCGAGUCCGGGAGAGGUGAGUGGAACUGCGAGUGUAGAGGUGAAAUUCGUAGAUAUUCGCAAGAACACCAGUGGCGAAGGCGGCUCACUGGCCCGGUACUGACGCUGAGGUGCGAAAGCGUGGGGAGCAAACAGG
rnacentral:rRNA from 1 species